UGUGUGUGUGUGUGUGUGUGUGUGUGUGUGUGUGUGUGUGUGUUUUGUAGGGGACUGUGCUGUACCACACUGGGUAAUGAGGGUGAUAGCGGUGCUGACUGCGUUUGUGGUGAUGUUCUGUGCCAUGUUUUUUUGGUUUAUCCAUAAAGUCUACUGUAACUGUUGUAAACACUCGAUUUAAGAUUCCUGAAAACUGAGGACUCCCGAGUGGAGCAACAGAAAAGUCCUCAGGAGAUCACAAGUCUGAAUGACACAGCCAUCCGUGCUCAGGAGCCAAGAGCGAUAAAACCGGCAGUGCUGUCUGGGUGUUCUGUCUCUCCCUGUCAAUCACAGCAACGCACGCCAAUCAUGGGCAUCUGUAAGCUCACGUAUUUGGAAGAAGACCAGUAGCGCUUUCCUCGGAGUGUGUUACGCAGCCCUGUGAUGCAGCAUGAGCAGCAGUAGAAACGUUGUGGUUGAUUGCACGUAUUUCAGAAGAAGCCUGUGUCAGCCUUCACCCUCCUGGUUGCUAGCUGUUAUGUGAUAGGUGUAUGGCAUGGUUGUUGGUGCCAGAUGGGCUGUUUAAGUAUUUCUAGAACUGCUGAUCUUCUGGGAUUUUCACACACAGCAGUCUCUAGAGUUACUCAGAAUGGUGCAAUAAAGAAAACAACAUUCAGUGAGCGGGAUUUCUGUGGAUGGAAACACCAUGUUGAUGAGAGAGGUCAGAGGAGAAUGUCCAGACUGGUUGGAGCUGACAGAAAGUCUAUGUAACUCAGAUAAUCACUCUGUACAAUUGUGGUGAGCGGAAAAGCAUCUCAGAAAGCACAACACGUCGAACCAUGAGGUGGAUGGGCUACAACAGCUGAAGACCAUGUGGGGUUCCUCUUCUGUCAGCAAAGAACAGGAAGCUGAGGCUGCACUGGGCACAGACUCACCAAAACUGGACAGAUGAAGACUGGAAAAACGUCGCCUGGUCUGAUGAAUCUCCAUUUCUGCUGAGGGACACAGAUGGUUGGCUCAGAAUUUGGCACCAACAGCAUGAACCCAUGGACCCAACCUGCCUUGUAGAUCACCUUUGGGAUGCGGUGGAACGGGAGAGAGAGAGAUGGCUCGACAGUGAGGAGGACGAGAUGGAGCCGGAGAUCGAGGAGGCGUAUGAGAAGUUCUGUCUGGAGACUGAGAGACAGAAACCAUGAGAACUGUCCAGUGCUGAAGCGUCGGUUCUCUCCGUCUCCGUGAGAACCCUGGCCACGUUUUACCUUCCUUUAACUUUAGAUCAUUACGCAUAAAGAGCACUGGGCUGGCUUUAGAGAUUUACUUCUGGCUGGAGUUUGUGUCGGCUCGCGGACGAGCGGGUCCUGGUGUGACGUUGUGGUGUGUGUGUUUAGGUUUGUGGAAGAGACGCGAGCGGUUUGCAGUGAGGUUUUAUUUCUUCAGUGACGGACGUCUAACUGCUUCCUGUUGGAGAAUAGAGAGAGGAGGAAGGGAGGAGAGAGGGUGUGGGUUCUUGCAGGUCUGAUGGCGGAAGAGUUAAAAAAGGAAGAAAACCCCAGAUUUUCAUUGUUUAUUGUUUUCUUUGUCUGUUUUUGUCUGGUUCAUUUGGAACCUUUUAAAGAGUUUUACAGAUUUUGAUGCGUGAGGGAACUUUAGAUUCCUGAGUCCUGGAAUACAAUCUCAGUUAAAGGUGGAUUCAGGUGUGUGACUUUCAGCACUACACACACACACACACACACACACACACACACACACACAGAGGAAUGUUUAUUUUAUUAGAGUAUUGUACAUAUUAUUUACUGCAUCAUUGGCCUGCAAUAAAUCUUUAUAACAGCU